rnacentral:rRNA from 1 species
AGUGAACGCUGGCGGUAGACCUAACACAUGCAAGUCGAACGGCAGCACAGUAAGAGCUUGCUCUUACGGGUGGCGAGUGGCGGACGGGUGAGGAAUACAUCGGAAUCUACUUUUUCGUGGGGGAUAACGUAGGGAAACUUACGCUAAUACCGCAUACGACCUACGGGUGAAAGCAGGGGAUCUUCGGACCUUGCGCGAUUGAAUGAGCCGAUGUCGGAUUAGCUAGUUGGCGGGGUAAAGGCCCACCAAGGCGACGAUCCGUAGCUGGUCUGAGAGGAUGAUCAGCCACACUGGAACAGAGACACGGUCCAGACUCCUACGGGAGGCAGCAGUGGGGAAUAUUGGACAAUGGGCGCAAGCCUGAUCCAGCCAUACCGCGUGGGUGAAGAAGGCCUUCGGGUUGUAAAGCCCUUUUGUUGGGAAAGAAAAGCAGCAGGUUAAUACCCCGCUGUUCUGACGGUACCCAAAGAAUAAGCACCGGCUAACUUCGUG